UUUUUUUUUCCUUGGGGAUUCUCCUUUCUCCUGCCAAACUGACUUGCACCUUCUCGAUAAUUUCUCUUCCCCUCGUUUUUUAUACUCUUCUCCCUGCUUCCAAACCCUGUGUCUGUGUGUUUCAGUACUAUCACAACCUCUGCUAAAAAUAGAUCUUUUUAUAUACCCUUCCUCCUCUCUGACCCCAUCCAACACCCCUUGUUAAGGGAACCGUCUUAAACCCAGGGCAAGAAACGUAAAGUCAUUUGGCUGUCCCUUAUCUCUAAGGGCACCUGAUGCAUAAGUGGACUAGAGAAAGGAAAGAAAGAAAAACCUCCAAAGACCUACAGAUCAUCUUGCUGGCAGGCAGGUCAAGCUUUCUAUGGAUUAAGGCAGAAUUGUGGCUCACAGAGAUGGAAUGUGAUUGGUAUUUUCAGCAGCAUUUUCAUGUCCCAGAAAAACUGCAGCAACUGAACAAAGGGAGCGUCCUUCUGAGUUGUGCUUUGAGCUGCUCAGUAAGUACAACACUUCACGAUACUCAUUGUCAUCUGGAGCUCCUCUCCACACACUGGCUGGGCAGUACCAAGGACUUGGAGAUGUUUUCUGUCUCUGAGAACAGGAUGUGUGGGGAUAUUCUCCAUAAGUGA
rnacentral:lncRNA from 1 species